rnacentral:lncRNA from 1 species
AAUUACAAAUAAUUACACAAAAGUGGGAUAUUACAUCACUUAGUUUUGCCUUGAACUUUGUCCAACUUCGGUACUUCUAAAAGGGCAUUUCUUCCUAUUGUGUCCUUCACUCCUACACCACCCACAUUUUUUAGUUUGUUGGGACUGAGAAUCAUCCAUUUCAUUGUGUAUACGUGUAGUUUUUGGUCUUCCAGUACGGUUCCUACGCAUAAGGGGAUUAG